rnacentral:rRNA from 1 species
CCCUUAGAUGUUCUGGGCCGCACGCGCGCUACACUGACGAAUGCAACGAGCUUAUAACCUUGGCCGAAAGGUCUGGGUAAUCUCCAAAUUUCGUCGUGAUGGGGAUAGAUUAUUGCAAUUAUUAAUCUUCAACGAGGAAUGCCUAGUAAGCGCAAGUCAUCAGCUUGCGUUGAUUACGUCCCUGCCCUUUGUACACACCGCCCGUCGCUCCUACCGAUUGAAUGGUCCGGUGAAGCGUUCGGACCGUGGCCUUUGGACGGUUCGCCGUCUGUUGGCUGCGGGAAGUUCGUUAAACCUUAUCAUUUAGAGGAAGGAGANGUCGUGACA